rnacentral:misc_RNA from 1 species
GCAAACUUGGUCAUUUAGAGGAAGUAAAAGUCGUAACAAGGUUUCCGUAGGUGAACCUGCGGAAGGAUCAUUACAGAAAACUUGGGGACUGUAGCUGGCAUUUUCAAUGCAUGUGCACGUCCUCUCCUUACAUCCAAAUACACCUGUGUGCACAAAGAGGUCUUUUUUUAAAGGCCUCAUUACACAUACUCUAAUUUAUAUGCAUGUUUUAUUAUAAAUUUAUUACAACUUUCAACAACGGAUCUCUUGGCUUUCGCAUCGAUGAAGAACGCAGC